rnacentral:tRNA from 1 species
GGAGAGAUGGCCGAGUGGCUGAAGGCAACGGUUUGCUAAACCGUCGUACUGGGUAAACUGGUACCGAGAGUUCGAAUCUCUCUCUCUCCGCUA